CCUACGGGUGGCUGCAGUGGGGAAUAUUGGACAAUGGGGGGAACCCUGAUCCAGCCAUGCCGCGUGUGUGAAGAAGGUCCUCGGGUUGUAAAGCACUUUCAGUGAGGAAGAACGCCUGGUGGUUAAUACCCAUCAGGAAAGACAUCACUCACAGAAGAAGCACCGGCUAACUCCGUGCCAGCAGCCGCGGUAAUACGGAGGGUGCGAGCGUUAAUCGGAAUUACUGGGCGUAAAGCGCGCGUAGGUGGCUUGAUAAGCCGGUUGUGAAAGCCCCGGGCUCAACCUGGGAACGGCAUCCGGAACUGUCAAGCUAGAGUGCAGGAGAGGAAGGUAGAAUUCCCGGUGUAGCGGUGAAAUGCGUAGAGAUCGGGAGGAAUACCAGUGGCGAAGGCGGCCUUCUGGACUGACACUGACACUGAGGUGCGAAAGCGUGGGUAGCAAACAGGAUUAGAUACCCCGGUAGUC
rnacentral:rRNA from 1 species